rnacentral:rRNA from 1 species
GAUGAACGCUGGCGGCGUGCCUAAUACAUGCAAGUCGAGCGAACGGACGAGAAGCUUGCUUCUCUGAUGUUAGCGGCGGACGGGUGAGUAACACGUGGAUAACCUACCUAUAAGACUGGGAUAACUUCGGGAAACCGGAGCUAAUACCGGAUAAUAUUUUGAACCGCAUGGUUCAAAAGUGAAAGACGGUCUUGCUGUCACUUAUAGAUGGAUCCGCGCUGCAUUAGCUAGUUGGUAAGGUAACGGCUUACCAAGGCAACGAUGCAUAGCCGACCUGAGAGGGUGAUCGGCCACACUGGAACUGAGACACGGUCCAGACUCCUACGGGAGGCAGCAGUAGGGAAUCUUCCGCAAUGGGCGAAAGCCUGACGGAGCAACGCCGCGUGAGUGAUGAAGGUCUUCGGAUCGUAAAACUCUGUUAUUAGGGAAGAACAUAUGUGUAAGUAACUGUGCACAUCUUGACGGUACCUAAUCAGAAAGCCACGGCUAACUACGUGCCAGCAGCCGCGGUAAUACGUAGGUGGCAAGCGUUAUCCGGAAUUAUUGGGCGUAAAGCGCGCGUAGGCGGUUUUUUAAGUCUGAUGUGAAAGCCCACGGCUCAACCGUGGAGGGUCAUUGGAAACUGGAAAACUUGAGUGCAGAAGAGGAAAGUGGAAUUCCAUGUGUAGCGGUGAAAUGCGCAGAGAUAUGGAGGAACACCAGUGGCGAAGGCGACUUUCUGGUCUGUAACUGACGCUGAUGUGCGAAAGCGUGGGGAUCAAACAGGAUUAGAUACCCUGGUAGUCCACGCCGUAAACGAUGAGUGCUAAGUGUUAGGGGGUUUCCGCCCCUUAGUGCUGCAGCUAACGCAUUAAGCACUCCGCCUGGGGAGUACGACCGCAAGGUUGAAACUCAAAGGAAUUGACGGGGACCCGCACAAGCGGUGGAGCAUGUGGUUUAAUUCGAAGCAACGCGAAGAACCUUACCAAAUCUUGACAUCCUUUGACAACUCUAGAGAUAGAGCUUUCCCCUUCGGGGGACAAAGUGACAAGUGGUGCAUGGUUGUCGUCAGCUCGUGUCGUGAGAUGUUGGGUUAAGUCCCGCAACGAGCGCAACCCUUAAGCUUAGUUGCCAUCAUUAAGUUGGGCACUCUAAGUUGACUGCCGGUGACAAACCGGAGGAAGGUGGGGAUGACGUCAAAUCAUCAUGCCCCUUAUGAUUUGGGCUACACACGUGCUACAAUGGACAAUACAAAGGGCAGCGAAACCGCGAGGUCAAGCAAAUCCCAUAAAGUUGUUCUCAGUUCGGAUUGUAGUCUGCAACUCGACUACAUGAAGCUGGAAUCGCUAGUAAUCGUAGAUCAGCAUGCUACGGUGAAUACGUUCCCGGGUCU